AGACCGAUUGAAUUAGGAGGAAGUCUUCUUGUACAAAAGUCAGAUUUACCACAGAAUUCUCAAUAUACAGCAUUAGGUCAUUUACAUAAACCACAAAAAGCAUCAGAGAGAUUAAAUGCGUAUUACUCUGGUUCUCCAAUUCAAUAUAGUAAAAGCGAGAGAGUAUACUCAAAAGGGGCUAAGAUUGUAGAAGUACACCCAGGAGAGGAUGCAAUAAUAGAAGAUAUUUAUUUCAAAAACUACAAGCCAAUAGAAGUAUUUAAAUGUAAAGGUAUAGAAGAAGCGAUAAAUAUAUGCGAAGAAAACAAAGAUAAAAAUAUAUGGUCUUAUUUUGAAAUAGUAACAGAUGAAGUAAUAAAUCAAAAAAACAUUAAAACUAUGAAAUCUUUAUUAAAAGAUAUUAUAGAAAUAAAACCUAUAAUAAAUCAGAAGUUUGAGUAUGAACAUGUAGAUAUGAGAGAAAAAACGAUGAAAGAAUUAUUUAUCGAAUACUAUAAAUUUAGAAACAAAGUAGAGCCUAAGGGUGAACUAUUAGAUUUAUUUUUACAGAUAGUUGAAGAUGAGGUGUGCGGAAUUCGUGGUGUAGCGGUGAAAUGCUUAGAUAUCACGAAGAACUCCGAUUGCGAAGGCAGCCUGCUAAGCUGCAACUGACAUUGAGGCUCGAAAGUGUGGGUAUCAAACAGGAUUAGAUACCCUGGUAGUCCACACGGUAAACGAUGAAUACUCGCUGUUUGCGAUAUACGGCAAGCGGCCAAGCGAAAGCGUUAAGUAUUCCACCUGGGGAGUACGCCGGCAACGGUGAAACUCAAAGGAAUUGACGGGGGCCCGCACAAGCGGAGGAACAUGUGGUUUAAUUCGAUGAUACGCGAGGAACCUUACCCGGGCUUAAAUUGCACUCGAAUGAUCCGGAAACGGUUCAGCUAGCAAUAGCGAGUGUGAAGGUGCUGCAUGGUUGUCGUCAGCUCGUGCCGUGAGGUGUCGGCUUAAGUGCCAUAACGAGCGCAACCCUUGUUGUCAGUUACUAACAGGUGAUGCUGAGGACUCUGACAAGACUGCCAUCGUAAGAUGUGAGGAAGGUGGGGAUGACGUCAAAUCAGCACGGCCCUUACGUCCGGGGCUACACACGUGUUACAAUGGGGGGUACAGA
rnacentral:rRNA from 1 species